rnacentral:rRNA from 1 species
AGAUUGAACGCUGGCGGCAGGCCUAACACAUGCAAGUCGAGCGGUAGAGAGGUGCUUGCAUCUCUUGAGAGCGGCGGACGGGUGAGUAAUGCCUAGGAAUCUGCCUAGUGGUGGGGGAUAACGUUCGGAAACGGACGCUAAUACCGCAUACGUCCUACGGGAGAAAGCGGGGGACCUUCGGGCCUCGCGCCAUUAGAUGAGCCUAGGUCGGAUUAGCUAGUUGGUGAGGUAAUGGCUCACCAAGGCGACGAUCCGUAACUGGUCUGAGAGGAUGAUCAGUCACACUGGAACUGAGACACGGUCCAGACUCCUACGGGAGGCAGCAGUGGGAAUAUUGGACAAUGGGCGAAAGCCUGAUCCGGCCAUGCCGCGUGUGUGAAGAAGGUCUUCGGAUUGUAAAGCAACUUUAAGUUGGAGGAAGGUUGUAACCUAAUACGUUGCAACUUUGACGUUACCGACAGAAUAAGCACGGCUAACUCGUGCCAGCAGCCGACGUAA